rnacentral:rRNA from 1 species
UACGUAGGGCGCAAGCGUUAUCCGGAAUUAUUGGGCGUAAAGAGCUCGUAGGCGGUUUGUCGCGUCUGCCGUGAAAGUCCGGGGCUCAACUCCGGAUCUGCGGUGGGUACGGGCAGACUAGAGUGAUGUAGGGGAGACUGGAAUUCCUGGUGUAGCGGUGAAAUGCGCAGAUAUCAGGAGGAACACCGAUGGCGAAGGCAGGUCUCUGGGCAUUAACUGACGCUGAGGAGCGAAAGCAUGGGGAGCGAUCCGG